GUUGAACGCUGGCGGCAGGCCUAACACAUGCAAGUCGGACGAGCGGAGGACGGGAGUAUAAUGUAUGGAGAUUGCCUGCUGGAGGGGAAUAACUACGGGAAAGGGUCGCUAAUACGGAAAUCCAUAGGGUAACACCUAUGGGAUUAGAUUGUAGGUGAGGUAAUGGCUCACUUAGGCGACGAUCCCUAGCUGGUCUGAGAGGAUGAUCAGCCACCCUGGGACUUAGACACGGCCCAGACGCCCACGGAGGCCGCAGGGGGGAAUAUUGCACAAUGGGCGCAAGCCUGAUGCAGCGAUGCCGCGUGUAUGAAGAAGGCCUUCGGGUUGUAAAGUACUUUCAGUCGUGAGGCGUUACCGACAGAAGAAGCACCGGCUAACUCCGUGCCAGCCGCCGCGGUAAUUC
rnacentral:rRNA from 1 species